rnacentral:rRNA from 1 species
ACUACGGGAGGCAGCAGUGGGGAAUAUUGGACAAUGGGCGAAAGCCUGAUCCAGCCAUGCCGCGUGUGUGAAGAAGGCCUUCGGGUUGUAAAGCACUUUCAGUGGGGAAGAAAGCCUUGGGGCUAAUACCCUCGAGGAAGGACAUCACCCACAGAAGAAGCACCGGCUAACUCCGUGCCAGCAGCCGCGGUAAUACGGAGGGUGCGAGCGUUAAUCGGAAUUACUGGGCGUAAAGCGCGCGUAGGCGGUCUGAUAAGCCGGUUGUGAAAGCCCCGGGCUCAACCUGGGAACGGCAUCCGGAACUGUCAGGCUAGAGUGCAGGACAGGAAGGUAGAAUUCCCGGUGUAGCGGUGAAAUGCGUAGAGAUCGGGAGGAAUACCAGUGGCGAAGGCGGCCUUCUGGACUGACACUGACGCUGAGGUGCGAAAGCGUGGGUAGCAAACAGGAUUAGAUACCCGAGUAGUC